CCCUUAGAUGUUCUGGGCCGCACGCGCGCUACACUGAAGGAGGCAGCGAGCAUGUCCUGCGCCGAGAGGUGUGGGGAAUCUUGUGAGUCUCCGUCGUGCUGGGGAUAGAUGGUUGCAAUUGUCGAUCUUGAACGAGGAAUUCCUAGUAAGCGCGAGUCAUCAGCUCGCGCUGAUUACGUCCCUGCCCUUUGUACACACCGCCCGUCGCUACUACCGAUUGGAUGGUUUAGCGAGAACUUUGGACCGGAGCUCGGGUGGUCAGCAAUGGUCGCCCGAGAUGUCUGGGAAAUCGUUCCAGCUUGAUCAUCUAGAGGAAGUAAAAGUCGUAACA
rnacentral:rRNA from 1 species